AUGAAAAGAUGGAACCAUUGAGCUGGGAACGAAGGGUUCAUAUAGCAUUGGAUGUCGCAAGAGGCUUGGAGUAUCUUCAUGACGGGGCAGUUCCUCCUGUGAUACAUCGUGACAUUAAAUCUUCCAACAUUUUGUUGGAUCAGUCAAUGAAAGCUAGGUUAACUCUAGAGUUAGCUUGAAUCCU